rnacentral:misc_RNA from 1 species
AAGUCGUAACAAGGUUUUCGUAGGUGAACCUGCGGAAGGAUCAUUAGUGAAUUUCGGCCUCUCUUUUGCAAAAAAGAAGGUCAUCUCACUUUCACAAACACUUGUGCACUUGUUUAUUACAAUUAAUUUUGUAAACACUUGUGUCAAUCAAUAACAGUUUUGAAUGUAAACUUUGAUAAUGAAAGUAAAACUUUCAGCAAUGGAUCUCUUGGCUCUC